rnacentral:rRNA from 1 species
AGCUCCAAUAGCGUAUAUUAAAGUUGCUGCAGUUAAAAAGCUCGUAGUUGCAUUUCCGAGGCAAGGGAUUAGUCCGACCUUUGGUGGGUAUUUACUCCUCUUGCCUCGUCCUUGAGUGGUGCUUCUUGGUAUUAAGUUAUCGCGGAGAUAGCCGCUCAUCGUUUACUGUGAGAAAAUUAGAGUGUUCAAAGCAGGCUUAUGCCGUUGAAUAUAUUAGCAUGGAAUAAUAAGAUAGGACCUCGGUACUAUUUUGUUGGUUUGAGAACCAAGGUAAUGAUGAAUAGGGACAGUUGGGGGUAUUCGUAUUCAGUUGUCAGAGGUGAAAUUCUUAGAUUUACGGAAGACGAACUACUGCGAAAGCAUUUACCAAGGAUGUUUUCA